rnacentral:sRNA from 1 species
CCACGGCAAGUUGAUUUGACUCUCCCUAUCGUUUGUUCAACCUGUUCUGCCUGUCACAGCAGAGAUCUCACUCUCUGUGGGAGGAACGCUCUCGUACAAGGAUUCAGGAAUAGCGUUGACACGCGGAGCACAAGGACACAGGGUGAUGAAAGGCCACGAAGUCUCAUCACCAGGCCCAGCUAAUGAACCGGCGGCAGGUCCCUCUCACCUCGGGGAAGGGAAGGCGAGAGCAUAAACGCGGUUCAGCACACCAGCCUCUGUUUAGUUACAUCCGUACUCGUAGAACUCUCAACAAAAUCUCACAGCCCC